rnacentral:rRNA from 1 species
GACGAACGCUGGCGGCGCGCUUAACACAUGCAAGUCGAGCGAGAACCAGCCCUUCGGGGCUGGGGACAGCGGCGAACGGGUGAGUAACACGUGGGUAAUCUGCCCUCGGCACCGGAAUAG